rnacentral:rRNA from 1 species
GGGUAACCUGCCCUAUGCUGGGGAAUAACCUCGGGAAACUGAGAAUAAUGCCCCAUAGUCCACCAUGCCUGGAACGGUUGGUGGAUCAAAGCCCCGGCGGCAUAGGAUGGGCCUGCGGCGUAUCAGGUCGUAGGGGGUGUAACGUACCCUCUAGCCAUCGACGCGUACGGGUGUUGGGAGACAUAGCCCGGAGAUGGAUUCUGAGACACGAAUCCAGACCCUGCGGGGUGCAGCAGGCGCGAAAACUUGGCAAUGCGAGAAAUCGUGACCAGGGAACUCCAAGUGGCUGGGGUAAGACCCAGUCUUUUCUUGACUCUUCAAAGGUCUUGGAAUAAGGGGUGGGUAAGGACGGUGCCAGCCGCCGCGGUAAUACCGGCGCCUCAAGUGGUAGUCGAUUUUAUUGGGCCUAAAACGUCCGUCGCCUGUUUGGUACAUUCGUGGGUAAAUCAACCAGCUCAACUGGUUGAAUUCUGCGAGCACGGCCAGACUUGGGACCGGGAGAGGUGUGGGGUACGCUCAGGGUAGGGGUAAAAUCCUGUCAUCCUGAGCGGACCACCUGUUGCGAAGGCUCCACACUAGAACGGAUCCGACGGUCAGGGACGAAGCCUAGGGGCACGAACCGGAUUAGAUACCCGGGUAGUCCUAGGUGUAAACGCUGUGGACUUGGUGUUGGGAAGGUUCCGAGCCUUCUCAGUGCCGAAGCGAAGGUGAUAAGUCCACUGCCUGGGGAGUACGGUCGCAAGGCUGAAAGUU